AUUGAACGCUGGCGGUAUGCUUAAUACAUGCAAGUCGAACGGUAGCAGGCCUUCGGGCGCUGACGAGUGGCGGACGGGUGAGUAAUGCAUAGGAAUCUGCCUGGUAGUGGGGGACAACUUAGGGAAACUUAAGCUAAUACCGCAUACGCCCUACGGGGGAAAGCGGGGGACUUGCGGGCCUCGCGCUAGCAGAUGAGCCUAUGUUGGAUUAGCUAGUUGGUAGGGUAAAGGCCUACCAAGGCGACGAUCCAUAGCUGGUCUGAGAGGAUGAUCAGCCACACUGGGACUGAGACACGGCCCAGACUCCUACGGGAGGCAGCAGUGGGGAAUAUUGGACAAUGGGCGAAAGCCUGAUCCAGCAAUACCGCGUGUGUGAAGAAGGCCUGAGGGUUGUAAAGCACUUUCAGUGGGGAGGAAAAAGAGUUGGAUAAUACCCGGCUUAUUGACAUUACCCACAGAAGAAGCACCGGCUAACUCCGUGCCAGCCGCCGCAGUAAUAC
rnacentral:rRNA from 1 species